rnacentral:rRNA from 1 species
UAACAAGGAUUCCCCUAGUAGCGGCGAGCGAAGCGGGAAAAGCUCAAAUUUGUAAUCUGGCGUCUACGACGUCCGAGUUGUAAUCUCGAGAAGUGUUUUCCGUGAUAGACCGCAUACAAGUCUCUUGGAACAGAGCGUCAUAGUGGUGAGAACCCAGUACACGAUGCGGAUGCCUAUUACUUUGUGAUACACUUUCGAAGAGUCGAGUUGUUUGGGAAUGCAGCUCAAAUUGGGUGGUAAAUUCCAUCUAAAGCUAAAUAUUGGCGAGAGACCGAUAGCGAACAAGUACCGUGAGGGAAAGAUGAAAAGCACUUUGGAAAGAGAGUUAACAGUACGUGAAAUUGUUGGAAGGGAAACACAUGCAGCCAGACUUGCUAUUCGGGGCAACUCGAUUGGCAGGCCCGCAUCAGUUUUUCGGGGCGGAAAAGCAUAGAGAGAAGGUAGCAAUUUCGGUUGUGUUAUAGCUUUUUAUUGGAUUCGCCCUGGGGGACUGAGGAACGCAGCGUGCUUUUAGCAUAAGCUUCGGCUUAUCCACGCUUAGGAUGCGGGUGUAAUGGCCUGUAU